rnacentral:rRNA from 1 species
AGUGAACGCUGGCGGUAGGCCUAACACAUGCAAGUCGAACGGCAGCACAGUAAGAGCUUGCUCUUACGGGUGGCGAGUGGCGGACGGGUGAGGAAUACAUCGGAAUCUACUCUUUCGUGGGGGAUAACGUAGGGAAACUUACGCUAAUACCGCAUCCGACCUACGGGUGAAAGCAGGGGAUCUUCGGACCUUGCGCGAUUGAAUGAGCCGAUGUGGGAUUAGCUGGUUGGCGGGGUAAUGGCCCACCAAGGCGACGAUCGGUUGCUGGUCUGAGAGGAGGAUCAGCCGCACGGGAACUUAGACACGGUCCAGACUCCUACGGGAGGCCGCAGUCGGGAAUAGUGGGCAAAGGGCGCAAGCCUGACCCAGCCAUACCGCGUGUGUGAAGAAGGCCUUGGGGUUGUAAAGCCCUUUUGUUGGGAAAGAAAAGCAGUAGGUUAAUACCACGCGGUUCUGACGGUACCCAAUGAAUAAGCACCGGCUAACUUCGUG